UUGUCCAUAGGCAAAGCAUGU
rnacentral:misc_RNA from 1 species